ACGGAAGGCAGCAGUGGGGAAUAUUGCACAAUGGGCGCAAGCCUGAUGCAGCGAUGCCGCGUGAGGGAAGAAGGUUUUCGGAUUGUAAACCUCUGUCAACAGGGACGAAAAUGACGGUACCUGUGAAGGAAGCUCCGGCUAACUACGUGCCAGCAGCCGCGGUAAUACGUAGGGAGCAAGCGUUAUCCGGAAUUACUGGGUGUAAAGGGAGUGUAGGCGGGACUGUAAGUCAGAUGUGAAAUAUGCCGGCUCAACUGGCAGACUGCAUUUGAAACUGUUUUUCUUGAGUGUCGGAGAGGUAGAUGGAAUUCCUAGUGUAGCGGUGAAAUGCGUAGAUAUUAGGAAGAACACCAGUGGCGAAGGCGAUCUACUGGACGAUAACUGACGCUGAGGCGCGAAAGCGUGGGGAGCAAACAGGAUUAGAUACCCUGGUA
rnacentral:rRNA from 1 species